ensembl:snRNA U6 U6 spliceosomal RNA
GCAGUAGUGCAUAUUCUAAAGUUGGAAUGAUAAAGGGCAUGGCUCCUGCCCAAGGAUGACACAAAUUUUGAACUGUUCCACAUUUCC